AGUGAACGCUGGCGGUAGGCCUAACACAUGCAAGUCGAACGGCAGCACAGGAGAGCUUGCUCUCUGGGUGGCGAGUGGCGGACGGGUGAGGAAUACAUCGGAAUCUACUUUUUCGUGGGGGAUAACGUAGGGAAACUUACGCUAAUACCGCAUACGACCUACGGGUGAAAGCAGGGGAUCUUCGGACCUUGCGCGGUUGAAUGAGCCGAUGUCGGAUUAGCUAGUUGGCGGGGUAAAGGCCCACCAAGGCGACGAUCCGUAGCUGGUCUGAGAGGAUGAUCAGCCACACUGGAACUGAGACACGGUCCAGACUCCUACGGGAGGCAGCAGUGGGGAAUAUUGGACAAUGGGCGCAAGCCUGAUCCAGCCAUACCGCGUGGGUGAAGAAGGCCUUCGGGUUGUAAAGCCCUUUUGUUGGGAAAGAAAUCCAGCUGGUUAAUACCCGGUUGGGAUGACGGUACCCAAAGAAUAAGCACCGGCUAACUUCGUGCCAGCCGCCGCCGUAAGAC
rnacentral:rRNA from 1 species